rnacentral:lncRNA from 1 species
CUCUGUGCUAGUCGUUGGUCAUAUCACAGUGAACCAAAAAGAUUAAAAUGUGUGAUCUGUGUGCUUGUGGAGCUUACAUUCUAGUGGGGAGCAGAAAGAGAGACAAUAAACAAAAAUCAGAGCAUGUACUAUGCUAAAUGAGAUUUUGUGCUAUAGAGAAAAAUAAAAGAGGAAUUGCAGUUUUAUACAGUGUGGUCAGAAAAAUCCUUCUUGAGAUGAUCAUUUCUGAGCAAAGGCCAGAAGGAGAUUAGGGAAAGAGCCAUGCAGCUAUCUUGGGGAAGAGCUGUGCAGGCAGAGAAAAGAGCAGGUGCAAAGGCUCUGAGUCAGGAAGGUGUCUGGCACAGUGAAGGAAGGUCAGAUGACUACAGUAGACUGAACGAGGGGAGAGGAACCAACCAGAACUGCUCCGGCAUGAAUGUGCAUAAAUGUGCAUGAAUGUUCAAAAGGCAACCACAGAAGCUAGAAGACCAGGAGUUUGCAAUAAUCCCGAUGACAGGCUACACAACGUUCCUGAGAGUAUUUAUUCUGAGACAAAAAUGCCAGUCACAUCUUUAAGACCUUACUUAACAAGGAACUAACGAGAAAACAAGUUGGAAGGUGAAGCUACAUAUUUUUUCAAAUAAACGGUCUUAAUUUUUCUCCUUAUAGAAGGUUAAAUCAAUUUAGAUAAACAUAUCUAAAGCAUUAAUUUUUGCAG